UAACGGUGAGGCUGGCAGGGCACCAUGAUGCGAUCUGACCACCCCCCGCCUUGCUUUCGCCGGAUGCGGCUUCUCUCCACUCCUCAUGCAUCCGCCAUGUCUGCCGAUUCGUCACACGCCCAUGCAUGAUGAUUUCAGAAGUACAAUCAAAUGGAAGGCUGGAGGAAGAUUUUUGAAAUGGCAAAGUCGCCAGCAAGGACAUGAGACAUGAGGUCUGACUUGUUUCUUCAUAGGGGACAAAGGUGUCCUCUUCAUAAUGGUCAGGGACAGAACUUCCAGCUUGACAUAUUUGGGUUUUAACUAUCUCUUUUGUUUUUUGCCUUCACUGUUAUUGCUUUUGUCAGAUAUCUUAUUUCUUAAGGUCAGACUCCAAUGUUUUGUUUUGGAUAUGCGCAUUUCAUAUUAGUCAAGACGUGCAUUGACCAUUGAUCCUUACUUUAGAGGCUUUAGUAAUUACCUCAGUUUUAUACGAUUAACAAGGUAUCAAUAUUCUUCUCCUUCAGCUAUGUAUAGUCAGGAUUCACAAGUAAGGAGAAGAGGCAAGAGGCUAUUGAUGGAAUCAUUUCUUUGUUGUUUGUCUUGUUUCCUGACAUUCAGUAGCAUUACAAUUAGCAAAUUGUGAGUGAGUUUGCCUGCUUUGCUAUAUUCGGAAGUUCUCUACAUGCAGUGGUUACUGAUUGUGAGGGUCACUAUUUUUAUUUGGUACUUGGGUUGAUUUAGCUGAGAAUGAUUCACAUACUUGAAACUUUUUAUAUAGGACAUGAUAAUAGCAUGUUGGUUAGGGUAAGAAUAUCUUUUCUGAUCCCUAUUUGGUUCAGUUGACAUCUUUUAGUACGAUGUAUGUGUAGCACAUCCUUAAAUAUCUGUAGCCUCGAUAUCAUCAGUCAACUAUGUGACGUGCACCUUCUGCUUGAGCAGAUGAACCAGCCACUGCCCUAGAUGUUGCGCCGUGCUCCAGUCCUGUUCUGCUGGUUCUAACCAAGCACAUCAAACCAAGACCGAUUGCUCUAUUGUUGUGAUCGGGCAAUACAAUAUUGGUCGGUAGCUUCCCUCAUCUUGGUUCUUGUUUUACGGUUCAAGCCGAGUGAAUAUUAUUUGUGAUCCAAAUGACUGGUUUUAGGUAUCAACUUGACAUAUUGUCGAUGAUGCUCUAGGACACCUCCCACAUUAGUUCUCUACUGCAAUCAUUCAACCACCCGACAAGACGGACGUCCUUGUGCUUUCCCACCAUUAUUUAACCUGAUAAAGUCACCCAUAAGCACAGUAUGCCCCAACUUUUUUUCUUUUUCGAAAUUCAUUAUUUUGGAUUAUCGGUUGUCCUUUACUGCUAUCAAUCCAUGGCAAGAAGUAAUGCAACUAAACUACUUCUCCGAGUUUGGUGGGCAGUAAAUCAAUAGGAUUAUUGCCGCAUAGUUGAUUAUCUGAUGUAAUAGUGUGUUUAUGGUCAGAUAAUUCUCGCACUGGUUAUUUGAAUAAUAAAUGUAGAAUUUGGCGUGUUAUGUACCUCAUCGAGCAAGUACUUGUUCUUGAUAUGCCACCCAU